rnacentral:rRNA from 1 species
GAUGAACGCUGGCGGCGUGCCUAACACAUGCAAGUCGAGCGAUUCUCUUCGGAGAAGAGCGGCGGACGGUGAGUAACGCGUGGGUAACCUGCCCUGUACACACGGAUAACAUACCGAAAGGUAUGCUAAUACGAGAUAAUAUGCUUUUAUCGCAUGGUAGAAGUAUCAAAGCUCCGGCGGUACAGGAUGGACCCGCGUCUGAUUAGCUAGUUGGUGAGGUAACGGCUCACCAAGGCGACGAUCAGUAGCCGACCUGAGAGGGUGAUCGGCCACAUUGGAACUGAGACACGGUCCAAACUCCUACGGGAGGCAGCAGUGGGGAAUAUUGCACAAUGGGCGAAAGCCUGAUGCAGCAACGCCGCGUGAGCGAUGAAGGCCUUCGGGUCGUAAAGCUCUGUCCUCAAGGAAGAUAAUGACGGUACUUGAGGAGGAAGCCCCGGCUAACUACGUG